rnacentral:rRNA from 1 species
CCGGCGACCGGCGCACGGGUGAGUAACACGUAUGCAACCUGGCCGCCACAGGGGGAUAACCCGCGGAAACGCGGCCUAAUACCCCGUGACGCCACCGGAGGGCAUCCUCCGGGUGGCCAAAGGAGCGAUCCGGUGGCGGAUGGGCAUGCGGCGCAUUAGCUAGACGGCGGGGUGACGGCCCACCGUGGCGACGAUGCGUAGGGGUUCUGAGAGGAAGGCCCCCACACUGGGACUGAGACACGGCCCAGACUCCUACGGGAGGCAGCAG